CCUGAGGGAACUUGCACUCUGCCACCUCUUUCUCCAAGAGCGGCCCGGGACUGAGAAUGAGGGGAUGGGGCGAGUGGGUGGGGCCCUGCGCCUGUGCCUGGCUUCCAGAGUGACCCUAUUGUUGAUGAGGACCAGAGCCUAGGAGACAUCAGAGCCGGCCAGGAAUGACACAGGCGGUGUCGGGGUCACCGAUUCCAGAAGCCCUCCUCCUGUGGGGAAAGCACGGCAGACUUCAGGCAAUGGUGGUUGGACAUUUGCCCUGCCCCUUAUUAUAUGGUCAUGUCCACCCCCCUCACUUCAGUGGGCCUCCGUUUCCUCACGGGGUUGUUAAAAUGCAUUAAUCAUUAAAAUUAUUGUUUGCCUGGCAC
rnacentral:lncRNA from 10 species